ACUAUUUUGGCAGAAUAAAGUGCAGUAGAUUUAGAAUCUGAAUAUGUGAUGGUAAUCAUAGAUAGUA
rnacentral:tRNA from 1 species